rnacentral:tRNA from 1 species
GUGAGCGUAGUUCAACUGGUAGAGCGCGAGACUGUGGAUCUCGUUGUUGUGGGUUCGAGUCCCAUCGCUCACC